GCCCUUAGAGUUUGAUCCUGGCUCAGGAUGAACGCUGGCGGCGUGCUUAACACAUGCAAGUCGAACGAAACACCUUAUUUGAUUUUCUUCGGAACUGAAGAUUUGGUGAUUGAGUGGCGGACGGGUGAGUAACGCGUGGGUAACCUGCCCUGUACAGGGGGAUAACAGUCAGAAAUGACUGCUAAUACCGCAUAAGACCACAGCACCGCAUGGUGCAGGGGUAAAAACUCCGGUGGUACAGGAUGGACCCGCGUCUGAUUAGCUGGUUGGUGAGGUAACGGCUCACCAAGGCGACGAUCAGUAGCCGGCUUGAGAGAGUGAACGGCCACAUUGGGACUGAGACACGGCCCAAACUCCUACGGGAGGCAGCAGUGGGGAAUAUUGCACAAUGGGGGAAACCCUGAUGCAGCGACGCCGCGUGAGUGAAGAAGUAUCUCGGUAUGUAAAGCUCUAUCAGCAGGGAAGAAAAAACGGUACUGACUAGAGCCCCGCUACUC
rnacentral:rRNA from 1 species